rnacentral:rRNA from 1 species
UACGAAGGGUGCAAACGUUGCUCGGAAUCAUUGGGCGUAAAGCGCACGUAGGCGGCUCAGUAAGUCGGACGUGAAAUCCCUCGGCUCAACCGAGGACGUGCAUCCGAAACUACUGUGCUCGAGUAUGGAAGAGGGUCGCGGAAUUCUCGGUGUAGAGGUGAAAUUCGUAGAUAUCGGGAGGAACACCAGUGGCGAAGGCGGCGACCUGGGCCAAUACUGACGCUGAGGUGCGAAAGCGUGGGGAGCAAACAGG